UACGUAGGUGGCAAGCGUUGUCCGGAAUUAUUGGGCGUAAAGCGCGCGCAGGCGGUCCUUUAAGUCUGAUGUGAAAGCCCACGGCUCAACCGUGGAGGGUCAUUGGAAACUGGGGGACUUGAGUACAGAAGAGGAAAGCGGAAUUCCAAGUGUAGCGGUGAAAUGCGUAGAGAUUUGGAGGAACACCAGUGGCGAAGGCGGCUUUCUGGUCUGUAACUGACGCUGAGGCGCGAAAGCGUGAGGAGCAAACAGG
rnacentral:rRNA from 1 species